UCCAGAGCUGGUGGAAGAGCUCAGUCUGCACAGGCAAGAAGUUACAAGGAGACACCAGGUUGUGAUCCAUCCCAUGAGAAAACAUUCUUAUUGAAGGCCCACAUGUUUGUGUUAUAAUCCAAAUGGGAACUUGGAGGACCAGAAGGUAGAAUUAAUCAGGAUAAAAAACACGUUCUGGCCACCGUAACAUUUCCUUCUGGACUAACUCCCAAUCCAGAUCCUCUCUCCAUUCUUCUUACCAGCAGCCCACAGUGAAAUUACUCCUCAUUUUUCAACCCCCAUAUGCUCAGGGUUAUUUACUCCUAUUUUCCCCAAGGCCAAUCCUCUUGCCAAUCACAAUACUUAUCCCAUCAUUGUGUGUGUUAGAGCUUUGCCCAAGUACGUUCUUCAGAUCCCAAAGUCCAAGGAUGUUAAUAGGUGUACAAUAAAUACUUGUUUAAUAAAUAAAUGCCAAGUAUGUGCUGUGAAUUGUGUUUGUGUACCUGGCACCAACUUUAUGCUGCUUUCAUAAAGUUGAUAUCAAG
rnacentral:lncRNA from 1 species